CCAUCCUGAGAAAGAAAAAUGGAGCUGGAGGAAUCAGGCUCCCUGACUUCAGACUAUACUGCAAAGCUACAGUCAUCAAAACCAUAUGGUACUGGCACAAAGACAGAAAUAUAGAUUAGUGGAACAGGAUAGAAAGCCCAGAAUUAAACCCAUGCACCUACAAUCAACUAAUCUAUGACAAAGGAUGUAAGAAUAUGCAAUGGAGAAAAGACAGACCCUCCAAUAAGUAGUGCUGGGAGAACUGGACAGCCACAUAUUUAAGAAUGAAAUUAGAUCACUUCCUAACAUCAUUCAUAAAAAUAAACUCAAAAUGAAUUAAAGUCCUAUAUAUAAUACCAGAUACUAUAAAACUCUUAGAAGAAAGCAUAGGCCAGACUCUGACAUAAAUGACAGCAACAUCUUCUCAGUUCCACCUCUUAGAAUAAUGACAAUAAAAACAAAAAAUAAACAAAUGGGUCUUAACUAAGCUUAAAAGUUUCUGCACAGCAAUAGAAACCCUAAAUAAAAUGAAAAGACAACCCCCAGAGUGGGAGAAAAUCUUUGCAAAGGAAUCAAUGACAAGGGAUUCAUCUCCAAAAUUUAUAAAUGCCUCCUACUGCUCAAUACCUAAAAAACAAACAACCCCAUCAAAAAAUGAGCAGAUCUAAACAGACAAUUCUCCAAUGAAGACAUACAGAUGGCCAAAACACACAUGAAAAGACAUUCCACAUCACUCUUUAUUAGAGAAAUGCAAAUCAAAACCACUAUGAGGUACCACCUUAUACCAGCCAGAAUGGCCAUCAUCAAUAAGUCUACAAAUAGUAAGUGCUGGAGAGGGUGUGGAGAAAAAGGAACCCUAUUACACUGUUGGUAGGAGUAUAAAUUGGUGCAACCACUGUGGAAAACAGUAUGGCAAUUCCUCAGAAAACUAAACAUAGAAUAAUGAUUUGAUCCAGCAAUCCCACUCCUGGGCUUUUAUUCAGAAAAAACCAUUGCUCAAAAAGACGCAUGUACUCCAGUGUUCAUUGCAGCACUAUAUACAAUAGCCAAAACAUGGAAAGAACCUAAGUGUCCAUCUACAGAGGAGUGGCUAAAGAAGAUGUGGUACAUAUACACAGUGGAAUAUUACUCAGCCAUUAAAAGGAAAGAAAUAAUGUCAUUUUUAGCAACAUUGAUGGACUUAGAAAUUAUCAUGCUAAAUGAUGUCAGUCAAUGAUACACCAACACCAAAUGGUAUCACUUACAAGUGAAUUCUAAAAAAAAGUUUACCAUGAAUUUCUUUGCAGAACUGACACUGACUCAUAGACUUUGACAAAUUUAUGGUUUCCAAAUGAGACAGUUUGAGGGUUGGGUGGAUGCACUGAGAGUUUGGGAUGGAAAUGGUAUAAAAUUUGGUUGUGAUGAUUGUUUUACACCUAUAAAUGUAAUAAAAUUCAUUAAGUAAUUAAAAAAUUUUAAAAAUGCCAAAAAAUAGAAAUCAUAGUAUAUGUACACAAUGGAAUACUACUCAGUCAUAACAAAGAAUAAAAUAAUGCCAUUUUCAGCAACAUGGAUGGAACUAGAGACUCUCAUACUAAGUGAAACAAGUUGGAAAGAGAAAGAGAAAUACUGUAUGUAAUCACUUGUAUCCGGUAUCUAAUAUAUGGCAGAAAUGAACCUUUCCACAGAAAAGAAAAUCAUGGACAAGGAGAACAGACUUGUCGUUGCCAACACGGAGGGGGAGGGAGUGGGACAGAUUGGGAAUGAGGGUUUAAUAGAUGCAAAAUAUUGCCUUUGGAAUGGAUAAGCAAUGAGAUCUUGUUGUAUAGCACUGGGAAUUAUGUCUAUAGUUUCUUAUGAUGGAGCAUGAUAAUGUGAGAAAAAGAAUGUAUACAUGUAUGUGUAAUUGGGCCACCUUGCUGUAUAGUAGAACAUGGACAGAAUACUGUAAACGAGCCAUAAUGGAAAAAAUAAAAAACAAUAUAAGGUAAUCUGGUUAAUAUAUACAAUGAAAUAUUAUCAGACAUAAAAAGGACAAAAUAAUGCCAUUUGCAGCAACAUGGAUAGAACCAGAGACUCUCAUACUAAGUGAAGUAUGUCCAAAAGAGAAAGAUAAAUACCAUAUGAUAUCGCUUAUAUAUGGAGUCUAAAAUAUGGCACAAAUGCUCUAUCUACAAAACAGAAAGAAAUCAUGGACAUGGAGGGCCAACUUGUAUUUGCCAGGGGCAAAGAGGGAGAGAGGGGUAUUGUGAGGGAAUUUUGGGUCUGUAGAUAACACUAGAAGACUGUUACAUUUAGAUCAUUUGGGUGAUGGGGUCCUGCUGUACAGCACAGGGAAGGUAUCCAGCCUCUUGGGUAAGAGCCUCAUGGAAAAUGAAAACAAUGGAUGUAUAUGGAUGGCAGAAAUUGAAGGAACAUUGUAAAUCAACUAUACUUUAUUAAAAAUAAAUAAAUAAAAGUAAAAAUCACCAGAAAAGAGACUACUGGAAUUAUGAUUAUCAUGUAUAAGAGUCAAACUUGGCAUUACCUCAAUAAGCCAAAUAAUAAGCAAAAUCAACCAUUUACAUCCUGGGGGUUCAAUGGGACUUGGUUUGAGAGAACUUUUAAUGGAUUUAUUAUUAGUAUAUUUUGGGUCUUUCCCAAUGGGGGCACAGCUGGUUUGGGGAGGAUGUUAUGUAGAUAAAGAGAAUAGGGAAACAGAAACAGAAAUAAACCUUUUAUUACUUUUAAAACAUGUAUCUUCUAGAAAGGCAGAUACUAACUGAAAUGGGGGGGAGGGGAUCUGUGCGAUCCAUACACAGAUUGGUUGUUUUAUACCUGAGAGAGGUUAAUGUGCUACAACAUGUGUGAAUGACAAAUGUUGUGCUGUUAGAAGCGUGGCUCAACUGCUUAGAUAUCAGAAAUGAAAGCGUUGUAUCGUACAGGUAUGGCACUUUCUACUAUUGGGAUAGGCAAGAUAACAUGCAAAAAUGUUACUACAAAGAUGUCAUUUCAGUGCUAGAGAGAUAGUAUCUGGGGAUUUACUAAAUUGUCUAAAUUAUUAAUAGUAUGUCCACAUAACAUCAUAAUUACCAGAAGAGUUGGCUUAAUACUAUAACUCUUAUAGAGAAAAUACUUACUCAGUUAAGAAAAAAUUAGUUGAUUUUGGAGAAGGGAACUAAUAGUUGUUUCCCAUCGUGGCGCAGUGGUUAACGAAUCCGACUAGGAACCAUGAGGUUGCGGGUUCGGUCCCUGCCCUUGCUCAGUGGGUUAACGAUCCGGCAUUGCGGUGAGCUGUGGUGUAGGUUGCAGACGCGGCUCAGAUCCCGCGUUGCUGUGGCUCUGGUGUAGGCCAGUGGUUACAGCUCCAAUUCAGCCCCUAGCCUGGGAACCUCCAUAUGCUGUGGGAGUGGCCCAAAGAAAUAGCAAAAAGAC
rnacentral:lncRNA from 1 species